rnacentral:tRNA from 1 species
GGGCAGGUGGUGAAAUGGCAGACACGCUAGGUUUAGGACCUAGUCCCGCAAGGGGUGCGAGUUCGAGUCUCGCCCUGCCCA